rnacentral:rRNA from 1 species
AGCGAACGCUGGCGGCAGGCCUAACACAUGCAAGUCGAACGAACUCUUCGGACUUAGUGGCGGACGGGUGAGUACCACGUGGGAACGUGCCUUUUGGUUCGGAAUCCCUCAGGGAAACUUGUGCUAAUACCGCAUGGGCUCUUCGGGGGUAAGAUGUAUCGCCAUUAGAGCGGCCCGCGUCUGAUUCGCUAGUUGGUGAGGUAACGGCACAGCAUGGCGAGGAUCAGUAGCUGGUCGGAGAGGAGGCCCAGCCACACUGGAGAUGAGACACGGCCUAGUCCGGGACGGGAGGGUGCAGUGGGGUAUCUUGCGGAAUGGGCGCUAGUGCGACGCCGCCACGCGGGGUGAAUGAUGCAGGUCUUAGUAUUGUAAAAUUCUUUCUCAGGGGACGAUAAUGACGGUACCCGGAGAAGAAGCCCCGGCUAACUUCGUG